AAUAUAAAAGAGUGUGCCGGUUCUAUGCAAAAACGAGAUUUGCGUUUGUCGCAAAUCUCGUAGUGAAAACUGCACAAGAACGUGCAGUUUUCACGAGC
rnacentral:sRNA from 1 species